CCAAUAGCGUAUAUUAAAGUUGUUGCAGUUAAAAAGCUCGUAGUUGAAUUUCGGGAUCAAUAUUUCGGUCAUGCCGUUGGUAUGCACUGUUAUCAUUGAUUUCUCACCUUCUAAAGAACCGUAAUGCCAUUAAUUUGGUGUUACGGGGAAUUAGGACUGUUACCUUGAAAAAAUUAGAGUGUUUAAAGCAGGCUCACGCUUGAAUACAUUAGCAUGGAAUAAUGAAAUAGGACAUCCGAUUCUAUUUUGUUGGUUUCUAGGAUCGAUGUAAUGAUUAAUAGGGAUAGUUGGGGGCAUUAGUAUUCAAUUGUCAGAGGUGAAAUUCUUGGAUUUAUUGAAGACUAACUACUGCGAAAGCAUUUGCCAAGGAUGUUUUCAUUAAUCAAGAACGAAAGUUAGGGGAUCGAAGACGAUCAGAUACCGUCGUAGUCUUAACCAUAAACUAUGCCGACUAGGGAUCGGAUGAUGUUAAUUUUUUAAUGACUCAUUCGGCGCCUUACA
rnacentral:ncRNA from 2 species